AUUGAACGCUGGCGGCAUGCUUUACACAUGCAAGUCGAACGGUAACAGGCCUUCGGGUGCUGACGAGUGGCGCACGGGUGAGUAAUGCAUCGGAACGUACCCAGAGGUGGGGGAUAACGCAGCGAAAGCUGUGCUAAUACCGCAUGUGAUCUGAGGAUGAAAGCGGGGGACCGAGCAGCAAUGUUUGGCCUCGCGCCUUUGGAGCGGCCGAUGUCGGAUUAGCUAGUUGGUGGGGUAAAGGCCUACCAAGGCGACGAUCCGUAGCUGGUCUGAGAGGACGACCAGCGACACUGGGACUGAGACACGGCCCAGACUCCUACGGGAGGCAGCAGUGGGGAAUGUUGGACAAUGGGCGCAAGCCUGAUCCAGCAAUGCCGCGUGCGGGAAGAAGGCCUUCGGGUUGUAAACCGCUUUUGGCAGGAACGAAACGGUGUCCGCUAAUACCGGGCGCUAAUGACGGUACCUGCAGAAUAAGCACCGGCUAACUACGUG
rnacentral:rRNA from 1 species